rnacentral:rRNA from 1 species
GGGUUGUGAGGUUAAGCGACUAAGCGUACACGGUGGAUGCCCUGGCAGUCAGAGGCGAUGAAGGGCGUGCUAAUCUGCGAUAAGCGCCGGUAAGGUGAUAUGAACCGUUAUAACCGGCGAUACCCGAAUGGGGAAACCCAGUGUGACUCGUCACACUAUCAUUAACUGAAUCCAUAGGUUAAUGAGGCGAACCGGGGGAACUGAAACAUCUAAGUACCCCGAGGAAAAGAAAUCAACCGAGAUUCCCCCAGUAGCGGCGAGCGAACGGGGAGGAGCCCAGAGCCUGAAUCAGCAUGUGUGUUAGUGGAAGCGUCUGGAAAGGCGCGCGAUACAGGGUGACAGCCCCGUACACAAAAGCGCAUGUGCUGUGAGCUCGAUGAGUAGGGCGGGACACGUGGUAUCCUGUCUGAAUAUGGGGGGACCAUCCUCCAAGGCUAAAUACUCCUGACUGACCGAUAGUGAACCAGUACCGUGAGGGAAAGGCGAAAAGAACCCCGGCGAGGGGAGUGAAAAAGAACCUGAAACCGUGUACGUACAAGCAGUGGGAGCACCCUUUGGGGUGUGACUGCGUACCUUUUGUAUAAUGGGUCAGCGACUUAUAUUCUGUAGCAAGGUUAACCGUAUAGGGGAGCCGGAGGGAAACCGAGUCUUAAUUGGGCGUUAAGUUGCAGGGUAUAGACCCGAAACCCGGUGAUCUAGCCAUGGGCAGGUUGAAGGUUGGGUAACACUAACUGGAGGACCGAACCGACUAAUGUUGAAAAAUUAGCGGAUGACCUGUGGCUGGGGGUGAAAGGCCAAUCAAACCGGGAGAUAGCUGGUUCUCCCCGAAAGCUAUUUAGGUAGCGCCUCGUGAAUUCAUCUCCGGGGGUAGAGCACUGUUUCGGCUAGGGGGCCAUCCCGGCUUACCAACCCGAUGCAAACUGCGAAUACCGGAGAAUGUUAUCACGGGAGACACACGGCGGGUGCUAACGUCCGUCGUGAAGAGGGAAACAACCCAGACCGCCAGCUAAGGUCCCAAAGUCAUGGUUAAGUGGGAAACGAUGUGGGAAGGCCCAGACAGCCAGGAUGUUGGCUUAGAAGCAGCCAUCAUUUAAAGAAAGCGUAAUAGCUCACUGGUCGAGUCGGCCUGCGCGGAAGAUGUAACGGGGCUAAACCAUGCACCGAAGCUGCGGCAGCGAACGUAUCACUUAAAGCGAUUCAGCGGGUUACGAUUGACGGAGCGAAGCGACGUCAAAGCGUAUACAAAGUCGAGUCGGUUUAAGGAUACGUUCGUUGGGUAGGGGAGCGUUCUGUAAGCCUGUGAAGGUGGCCUGUGAGGGUUGCUGGAGGUAUCAGAAGUGCGAAUGCUGACAUAAGUAACGAUAAAGCGGGUGAAAAGCCCGCUCGCCGGAAGACCAAGGGUUCCUGUCCAACGUUAAUCGGGGCAGGGUGAGUCGACCCCUAAGGCGAGGCCGAAAGGCGUAGUCGAUGGGAAACAGGUUAAUAUUCCCGUACUUGGUGUUACUGCGAAGGGGGGACGGAGAAGGCUAUGUUGGCCGGGCGACGGUUGUCCCGGUUUAAGCGUGUAGGUGUGUGUUCCAGGUAAAUCCGGUUCACUUUAACACUGAGGCGUGAUGACGAGGCACUACGGUGCUGAAGCAACAAAUGCCCUGCUUCCAGGAAAAGCCUCUAAGCAUCAGGUAACAUCAAAUCGUACCCCAAACCGACACAGGUGGUCAGGUAGAGAAUACCAAGGCGCUUGAGAGAACUCGGGUGAAGGAACUAGGCAAAAUGGUGCCGUAACUUCGGGAGAAGGCACGCUGACACGUAGGUGAAGUGAUUUACUCAUGGAGCUGAAGUCAGUCGAAGAUACCAGCUGGCUGCAACUGUUUAUUAAAAACACAGCACUGUGCAAACACGAAAGUGGACGUAUACGGUGUGACGCCUGCCCGGUGCCGGAAGGUUAAUUGAUGGGGUCAGCGCAAGCGAAGCUCCUGAUCGAAGCCCCGGUAAACGGCGGCCGUAACUAUAACGGUCCUAAGGUAGCGAAAUUCCUUGUCGGGUAAGUUCCGACCUGCACGAAUGGCGUAAUGAUGGCCAGGCUGUCUCCACCCGAGACUCAGUGAAAUUGAACUCGCUGUGAAGAUGCAGUGUACCCGCGGCAAGACGGAAAGACCCCGUGAACCUUUACUAUAGCUUGACACUGAACAUUGAGCCUUGAUGUGUAGGAUAGGUGGGAGGCUUUGAAGCGUGGACGCCAGUCUGCGUGGAGCCGACCUUGAAAUACCACCCUUUAAUGUUUGAUGUUCUAACGUGGACCCGUAAUCCGGGUUGCGGACAGUGUCUGGUGGGUAGUUUGACUGGGGCGGUCUCCUCCUAAAGAGUAACGGAGGAGCACGAAGGUUGGCUAAUCCUGGUCGGACAUCAGGAGGUUAGUGCAAUGGCAUAAGCCAGCUUGACUGCGAGCGUGACGGCGCGAGCAGGUGCGAAAGCAGGUCAUAGUGAUCCGGUGGUUCUGAAUGGAAGGGCCAUCGCUCAACGGAUAAAAGGUACUCCGGGGAUAACAGGCUGAUACCGCCCAAGAGUUCAUAUCGACGGCGGUGUUUGGCACCUCGAUGUCGGCUCAUCACAUCCUGGGGCUGAAGUAGGUCCCAAGGGUAUGGCUGUUCGCCAUUUAAAGUGGUACGCGAGCUGGGUUUAGAACGUCGUGAGACAGUUCGGUCCCUAUCUGCCGUGGGCGCUGGAGAACUGAGGGGGGCUGCUCCUAGUACGAGAGGACCGGAGUGGACGCAUCACUGGUGUUCGGGUUGUCAUGCCAAUGGCACUGCCCGGUAGCUAAAUGCGGAAGAGAUAAGUGCUGAAAGCAUCUAAGCACGAAACUUGCCCCGAGAUGAGUUCUCCCUGAGACUUAGAGUCUCCUGAAGGAACGUUGAAGACGACGACGUUGAUAGGCCGGGUGUGUAAGCGCAGCGAUGCGUUGAGCUAACCGGUACUAAUGAACCGUGAGGCUUAACCUUACAACGCCGAAG